CCUACGGCAGGCAGCAGUGGGGAAUAUUGGACAAUGGGCGAAAGCCUGAUCCAGCCAUGCCGCGUGUGUGAAGAAGGCCUUCGGGUUGUAAAGCACUUUCAGUGGGGAAGAAAGCCUUGGGGCUAAUACCCUCGAGGAAGGACAUCACCCACAGAAGAAGCACCGGCUAACUCCGUGCCAGCAGCCGCGGUAAUACGGAGGGUGCGAGCGUUAAUCGGAAUUACUGGGCGUAAAGCGCGCGUAGGCGGUCUGAUAAGCCGGUUGUGAAAGCCCCGGGCUCAACCUGGGAACGGCAUCCGGAACUGUCAGGCUAGAGUGCAGGAGAGGAAGGUAGAAUUCCCGGUGUAGCGGUGAAAUGCGUAGAGAUCGGGAGGAAUACCAGUGGCGAAGGCGGCCUUCUGGACUGACACUGACGCUGAGGUGCGAAAGCGUGGGUAGCAAACAGGAUUAGAUACCCGGGUAGUC
rnacentral:rRNA from 1 species